UUUUUUUUCCCCUGUUCUCCCCCUCCUAUGGUCCGGUGCGUCCUAUAGAGCGAAAAAUACGGUACCUUAAUGAACCCAAGAGCAGAUUUGGGGAAUAAGGAGUGAUGGAGCUGUCAAGUUGUCUGAUUUCUCCUCUCUUCAGCCAGAAGACCCAAGAGGGUCAACGCACCAAUUCUGCAAUUUUAAAAUAUAGAUAUAUUGAUCCUGUCCCCAAAAGAGGCUGAAUGCUUCAGCCGGUGUCAGUUAUCCAGAUUUGCACAGUUGAGCUUAUUUUGCAUAAUUUAUUCCCUGCGUUUCCUAUUUUGCAUAAUUUAUGAUGGCACGGCUAGUCAUGAGGAAGGGGAGGAGCUAAAAUGGGUCUGAAGCCCCGCCCACACACAUCACCAGAAAGCUUAUUCCUUCUUCAUUCUGGCUUCUGAGAUUUUGCUCUGAUUUGCCUGUGCAUUCUCAGACGUUCAGGGCUAGAAACUUGCUCUCUUUUUAAGGAAAGGAAAGGAAACUGAAAUCAACAGGUGGUAUUACGGUCCUGUGAUUAAAUCCACACACACACACCACACUUCCACAAAAGCACAACACGCAACUGGAGGUCCUUUGGGGAUUUUUUAAGCAGAGGUUCGGUGGCCACCUGUCAGGUAUUCUUCCUCUGUGAUUCCUGCAUUGCGAGGGGUUGGACUAGAUGACUCUUAGAGCCCCUUCCAACUUUUAAAGUCUAUGAUUCUAAGUAAGGUAAAGGUAAAGGGACCCCUGACCAUUAGGCCCAGUUGCAGACGACUUUGGGGUUGCGGCGCUCAUCUCGCUUUACUGGCCAAGGGAGUCUGCGUACAGCUUCCGGGUCAUGUGGCCAGCAUGACUAAGCCGCUUCUGCGAACCAGAGCAGCACACGGAAACGCCGUUUACCUUCCCGCCGGAGUGGUACCUAUUUAUCUACUUGCAAUUUUGACGUGCUUUCGAACUGCUAGGUUGGCAGGAGCAGGGACCGAGCAACGGGAGCUCACCCCGUUGCGGGGAUUUGAACCGCCGACCUUCUGAUUGGCAAGUCCUAGGCUCUGUGUUUUAACCCACGGCGCCACCCGCGUCCGUAUGAUUCUAAGUAGCUGUGAGUUUAUACAAAAGCAGCUGGUGAUGGAGUUGGGUAGGAUUCUAUGUCAUUGAAACCUAGGUCUGCAUCUGUAUUUCCCUCUCACUUGGGGGUCCUUGGCCGUUCUCCAACAAAAUGCAGGGCCACAGCAACCCAAAUUGGAAGAUCUCUUUUCUUGAGAGUCCUGCCAGGAAGCUCCUUUUUCCAAUCGGAGCUGGGGGCAAGGCAUCUGAAAGCUUUCAGUGACACCCUAAAGCUUGCCUUCCAUUGAUGGUCAACUGUCAGGAAUUCUGACAGUGGGAGCUGGGUCCCUUCCAUCUCUGCAAUUCUAUGACUUUUCCAUCUGUCUUUGGUUUCAACUGUGGAAGGGGUAGCUUAGAUGCUAGCCUGACCACAAACAUGUGCUACCUCUGAGCGUCACUUCUGAUGUCCCCCAAUAUUGCUAUUCAGUUUGUUGUUUUCCCUGUUAAAUGGAGAUGUACCCACAACUUAUUCCUGUGGCAAAAUGUAGAAUGCUGGAGAGACUUGGAAUUGGGGCCACUGGCAGACUAGGUGUGCUUUGCUGGUUGCAGGAAAAUGGCGGUGUUCAUGUCUGCAGAUGCAAGCACAGGGUGGGUUUUCCAUUGCUCCUGGUUGUAGGAAACCCUCUGCCAUGUGCUUAAGAACAUCAGAAAAGCUCUGAUGGAUCAGACCCUAGUCUACCAUCCUGUUCUCCAAAGCAGGAUCUGACCACAAGAGCCCUCUCCCCUUCUGUGGUUUCUAGCACCUGGUGUUCAGAAAGAUUACUACUUCCAGGCUGGGAUUAGACUUAGUUUUUAAGUUGCUCCUCAAUCUCCCUACAAAGUUUCUAAUGUCAACAAGGCAAGUUCAGAUCAGGUCCAAACUCGAUUCAACAUGCAUUUGAAAUAGAAUCAACCUUAUCUUCUCUUCCCAAAACGAUGGUGCAGACCGCAAGGCAACUGACCUUUGAAGUUUGCACGUCUCUGAAUUUUGCAAUCGAGUUCUACAAUCGUCGCUACAGCAAACAUGUGUAUGAUUUGGGGGAAGUGUGCUUGAAAAAGCCUGUUUUAGUGGGGGGAAACGGCAUCCGAAAAGCAUGAUGUAUGGGGAAAUUGCCUUCAAAAACCUGAAUCUGUUAGGGGAAGCAAACAGCGAAAUGCUUUUGCGAGAACUUUCCUUCUUCAAACAAAUGGGCAAUUAACUGUGGAAAGGCAAUUAACUGAGCUGAGGUCUGCAGAAGAAACGAAACAGAGAAACCACAAUGGACAGAUUCCACCCAGCCCUAGCGAUGAGGGAGAGAGUGUUGGACAUAAUUGCAAAGUAGCAAGGAAGGGGGAGGCAGUUAUAUAAUGAGAAACAAAAGCUGGAAAAGAGGGGAAGCGCCCAGGGGAAGCGCUUGCAAUGUGUUUGACUUCACACAGCAUACUGAAGGCUAGUCAUAGAGGGUAGGGUUGUAACACACAAUUUGGUUUUCAAGAAGAGGUCAGGAGUUCUCAAAAUUCAGGAGGAGGGAAAGAACAACGGUGAAACAAUGGUCCACACGGCCAUUGCUAGCAUCAAAUUAAGGGGCAUUGCACUGAAGUCAGUUCCUGUUGUGCAAUUCAGUAUACUUACUUUAGAAGCCCAAGCAUUGUUGUUGUUGAGUCGUUUAGUCGUGUCCGACUCUUCAUGACCCCCUGGACCAGAGCACGCCAGGCUCUCCUGUCUUCCACUGCCUCCUGCAGUUUGGUCAAACUCAUGCUGGUAGCUUCGAGAACACUGUCCAACCAUCUCGUCCUCUGUCGUCCCCUUCUCCUUGUGCCCUCCAUCUUUCCCAACAUCAGGGUCUUUUCCAGGGAGUCUUUUCUUCUCUUGAGGUGGCCAAAGUCUUGGAGCCUCAGCUUCAGGAUCUGUCCUUCCAGUGAGCACUCAGGGCUGAUUUCCUUAAGAAUGGAUUGGUUUGAUCUUCUUGCGGUCCAUGGGACUCUCAAGAGUCUCCUCCAGCACCAUAAUUCAUAAGUCACUUCCUGUUGUGCAAUUCAGUAUACUAACUUUAGAAGCCCAAGCAUAGAGGAGCAAUAAUUAGGUGCAAACGGCCCUGAAGCAUCCCAUAGCUUCUUCAGGAAUGCAUACCUGUAAGGAAGCAUCAUUACAAAGUCUGCAUUGGUUGGUCAACAUCUCCCAACAUGUAUUCUUCUUCUGCUGCUGCUGCUGCUAUGGUCACACAAUGGCUGUGGACCAGAUCAUCUAGCUCACAGUCUACAUUUCUCCCAAGGGGGUUGCUAGCAUCUACAGCAAUCAUGUGAACUAGCUUUCAGGUCAAGGGUGGCCCCCCAGGACCUAAGGACAUAGGCAACUGCUUUACACUGAAUCAGACUUAUCUGGUUGACCUGGUUCAGUAUACUCCAGAAGUAGCCAAUGUGAUGUUCUCAAGAUGUUGCUGAACUGCAACUCCCAUCAUCCCUGAGAAUCGGCCACUGGGGCUGGUGGGAGUCCAACAAUAUCCAUAGAGAGAGAGACCCUUAAAAAUCACUUUCAGAAACAUCUGUCACCCAAACAAGCAGCAGACAUGGUUCAGUUUCUUUUGAGUGCCAGUAAACAAAGCAAAACAAAACAGAGCUGUUACUGGCUAUGAAAAAAAAAAUCAGGAAAAGGGAAUUAGAUGAAAUUGCUGUAAAUUGUUAUAGUUUGGAGGUUUAAUGUGAAAUCAAGCUUGUUGGUGUCUCUGGUAUCUUCUAUCUCUUACAUCGUGGAUGCUGGCAUAUAUUACAGAUGUAUGCUCUGUAUUCUUUUAUUAAUACCAUUGCUUUCUCAUGGCCUUUGGCCAGAACAAUAAACUUACAAACUGAGCUGAGCAUCCGUGUUGGCUGCUUCUGGUCUACAAUGACCGGAAGUAGCUCUCCGGGGUUUCAGAUGGGCUGUUCCAAACCGGGAAGUGUCAGCAGUUGAACCUGGGAACUUCUGGGUUAAAGGAAAAUAGGGUUUGACUCUGGUCAUGACCCAUCUGUGUUGAAGCAUGGCAUGAGAAUGGCCUCUGUGGUUCUUGUUGUUGUUGUUUAGUCGUUUAGUCGUGUCCGAACUUCAUGACCCCAUGGACCAGAGCAUGCCAGGCACUCCUGUCUUCCACUGCCUCCCGCAGUUUGGUCAAACUUAUGCUGGUAGCUUCGAGAACAUUGUCCAACCAUCUCGUCCUCUGUCGUCCCCUUCUCCUUGUGCCCUCCAUCUUUCCCAGCAUAAGGGUCUUUUCCAGGGAGUCUUCUCUUCUCAUGAGGUGGCCAAAGUAUUGGAGCCUCAGCUUCAGAAUCUGUCCUUCCAGUGAGCACUCAGGGCUGAUUUCCUUCAGAAUGGAGAGGUUUGAUCUUCUUGCAGUCCAUGGGACUCUCAAGAGUCUCCUCCAGCACCAGAAUUCAAAAGCAUUGAUUCUUCGGCAAUCAGCCUUCUUUAUGGUCCAGCUCUCACUUCCAUACAUCACUACUGGGAAAACCAGAGCUUUAACUAUACGGACCUUUGUUGGCAAGGUGAUGUCUCUACUUUUUAAGAUGCUUUCUAGGUUUGUCAUUGCUUUUCUCCCAGGUCUGUGGUUCUAGUAGCACCAAAUUAAUGAUGGGUCCAGGCCACUUGUGAAAGAAAGCAGAAGAAGAGGAUCAGGCCAAUGGCCCAUCUAGUCCAGCAUCCUGUUGUCACAGAGGCCGACCAGAUGCCUCUUUUGUGAAACCAGCAAGCAGGAUUUGAACACAUGAGCAACUCUCCCCUCUGGAAACUAGUAUUCAGAACCAUUGCUGUCUCCGACUGUGGAGCAGAGCAGAGCUAUCCUGGCUAGUAGCCAUUGACUACCCUUCCAUGAAUUUACGUAACCCUCUUUUAAAGUUCUCUAGGUUGGUCUCCUGUGGCAGGGAGUUCCACAUGCACUGUGUGAGGAAGGACUUUAUUUUAUCUGCCCUUGCUCUUCUAACAUUCGGAGAUCCGUUUGCUCAGAUUUUCCUCAAUGGGAGCGAGUCUUCGUCUUUCUAGGUUUUCCACGUUUGUCACAGGAACAAGUUGACGGGUACAAGCAGCACUUAAUCAGAAGUCUCCCUCGACAUAAAGGAAUUAUCCCCCCCCUCUCCUCGCCACCCCAAUCCUCCAAAAAAAGGAAAGGAAAAAUGAUUUCAAUGUUUGUUUGUUUUUUUCACGACAGAUGAUUUAUGAUGAAGAACAUGUGUCUGGAGAUGAUUGAGCAAAAUGCACAAGAAUUGUUUACAAACGAAAGACAUCCAUCCGCAAAUAAAUGAGAGAAAGAGA